UUCAGAUUUUAGAACAAUCAUUGCAGAGGAUACAGCAGCCUGCAGUAUCCGCGUUGAGAUGUUAUUCAUCUGCUACCAAAGAGGUGUCGUCUUUCAAUCGCAAUCUGAAUUCUGCAAAGUUUCAAUCAAGCAUUUUUGGUAUUGUUGUUCCUGGCAAGCCAUCUUCCUUACAAUGAAGAAGAUCACUGUGCUAAGGUCCACAAUAACCAUUCUUCAGCCUAAGG